CCUACGGGAGGCUGCAGUGGGGAAUAUUGGACAAUGGGGGCAACCCUGAUCCAGCCAUGCCGCGUGUGUGAAGAAGGCCCUCGGGUUGUAAAGCACUUUCAGUGAGGAAGAACGCCUGGUGGUUAAUACCCAUCAGGAAAGACAUCACUCACAGAAGAAGCACCGGCUAACUCCGUGCCAGCAGCCGCGGUAAUACGGAGGGUGCGAGCGUUAAUCGGAAUUACUGGGCGUAAAGCGCGCGUAGGUGGCUUGAUAAGCCGGUUGUGAAAGCCCCGGGCUCAACCUGGGAACGGCAUCCGGAACUGUCAAGCUAGAGUGCAGGAGAGGAAGGUAGAAUUCCCGGUGUAGCGGUGAAAUGAGUAGAGAUCGGGAGGAAUACCAGUGGCGAAGGCGGCCUUCUGGACUGACACUGACACUGAGGUGCGAAAGCGUGGGUAGCAAACAGGAUUAGAUACCCCUGUAGUC
rnacentral:rRNA from 1 species